rnacentral:rRNA from 1 species
UACGAAGGGGGCUAGCGUUGCUCGGAAUCACUGGGCGUAAAGGGUGCGUAGGCGGGUUUUUAAGUCAGAGGUGAAAUCCUGGAGCUCAACUCCAGAACUGCCUUUGAUACUGAAAGUCUUGAGUAUGGGAGAGGUGAGUGGAACUGCGAGUGUAGAGGUGAAAUUCGUAGAUAUUCGCAAGAACACCAGUGGCGAAGGCGGCACUCUGGGCCGUGACUGACGCUGAGGAGCGAAAGCGUGGGGAGCAAACAGG